CUACAAAUCAGAGACUCAGGUAGCACAAACUUUUGGAGGAAGUCUGCUGAGAAAUGCAUGGAGCUGGGGGCUUGGGAAGAGAGAAACUUCUUCCAUUCUGAGUUACCUGUGAAAUAGGCUGCCUGGUUCCUAAAUGACCCAUUUUAGGUCUGUCUCAGUGUAGCCUUGCUUCUGGCCACUUGUCACAGAGCAGAAUUUCUGAGAGACUCUACUGCCCUUCUAUACUCUCCACUGAUAAAAAUAUUUAAACAGGAUGACUCAGAUGGACUUGGGAUAUGAGAACUAAAACCAUAAUGUCCUUCUACUUUUGAGUUGACUAGAAUACCCAAAAUCACAUUAGUAAAGAGUUGUACUUUGGACUCCACACUCUGUUAAAAGGCAAAUAUAGGUAAAGGGAAACAACCUUUAUUAGCCACUCACCUCUUGAAUAAGAGAGUGUCUUAUCAGAAUUCUUCCAGGAGUUCCCGUCAUGGCUCAGUGGUUAACGAAUCCGACUAGGAACCAUGAGGUUGCGGGUUCGAUCCCUUGGCUUUGCUCAGUGGGUUAAGGAUCCGGCAUUGUCAUGAGCUGUGGUGUAAGCUGCAGACGUGGAUUGGAUCCCGAGUUGCUGUGGCUGUGGUGUAGGCCAGCAUCUACAGCUCCAAUUCGACCCCUAGCCUGGGAACUCCAUAUGCUGCGGGAGGGGCCCAAGAAAUGGCAAAAAGACAAAAAAAAACAAAAACAAACAAACAAAAAAACUCUUCCAAAGAAAACAAAAACAAGGUGCACCUAUCUCCAAAUUUUGCAAAGGAAUAAUAUUUUCCUGAUUUUCUGACUUUCUUUGAUAAAAAUUUUUAGAGUUUUCUUCUCCUAAACUUCUUCUUAAAUAUUCAAUUUUAAAAUAGUAUUUUUCUGGAGUUUCCAUGUUGCUCAGUAGGUUAAGGAUCUGGCAUUGUCACUGCAGUGGCUCAGCAAAUAAAUUAAAAACAAAAACAAACAAACAAACAAAAAAACAGUACUUUCCCUAAAAAUAUCUUCUUCUUUUUUUUUUUUUUUUUUGUCUUUUUAGAGCUCCAUCCACGGCAUAUGUAGGUUCCCAGGCUAGGGGUCCAAUUGGAGCUGCAGCAGCCGGCCUACACCACAGCCACAGCAACACAAGAUCCGAGGUAGGUCUGCAUCCUACACCACAGCUCACAGCGACAAUGGAUUCUUAACCCACUGAGCAAGGCCUGGGAUCGAAACCAUAUCCUCUUGGAUGCUAGGCAGGUUCAUUAACUGCUAAGCCAAGAUGGGAACUCCUAAAAACAUCUUUUAAUAAUAGGCAUUAUGAGAGGAAUAGAAAAAGAGAUAUACAGAAAAUGCUUCCCAAUAGAUCUGAAGCUAUCAUUAAAAAACAAAACAAGUCUUUAAGCCAUUUUGAGUUUAUUUUCAUGCAUGGUGUGAGGGUGUGUUCUAGUUUCAUUGAUUUAUAGGCAGCUGUCCAGGUUUCCCAGCAAUACUUGCUGAAAAGACUCUCUUUUUCCCAUUUUAUGUUCUUGCCUCCUUGUCAAAGAUUAAUGGACCAUAGGUGUCUGGGUUUAGUUCUGGGUUCUCUAUUCUGUUCCAUUGGUCUGCAUGUCUGUUUUGGGACCAGUACCACACUGUCUUGAUGACUGUGGCUUUGUAAUAGUGCCUGAAGUCUGGGAGAGAGAUGCCUCCUGCUUGGUUUUUGUUCCUCAGAAUGGCUUUGGCAAUUCUGGGUCUUUUGUGGUUCCAUAUAAAUGUUUGGAUUGUUUGUUCUAGGUCUGUGAAAAAUGUCAUGGGCAAUUUGAUAGGGAUUGCAUUGAAUCUGUGGUUUGAUUUGGGUAAUGUGGCCAUUUUUACAAUAUUAAUUUUUCCAACCCAGGAGCAUGGAAUAUCUUUCCAUUUCUUGACAUCUUCUUGAAUUUCCUUGAUUAAUGUUUUAUAGUUCUCAGCAUGUAAGUCCUUUACCUCCUCGGUCAGGUGUAUUCCCAGGAUUUGAUUUUGGGGGGUGUGCAAUUUUAAAAGGGAUUGUGUUUUUGUAUUCCUUUUCUAAUAUUUCAUUGUUAGUAUACAGAAAUGUGACUGAUUUCUGAAUGUUAAUCUUAAAUCCUGCUACUUGGCUGAAUGUGUUGAUCAGUUCAAGUAGUUUUUGGGUUGAGUCCUUACGGUUUUCUACAUAUAGUAUGAAAUCAUUUGCAUACAGUGACAGUUUUACCUCUUCUCUGCCUAUUUAGGUGCCUUUUAUUUCUUUUGUUUGUCUGAUUACUGUGGCUAAGACUUCCAGUACUAUGUUGAAAAACAGUGGUGAGAGUGGGCAUCUUUGUCUUGUUCCAGAUUUUAGUGGGAAGGCUUUCAGCUUUUCUCCAUUGAGUAUUGGUUUUGGUGUGGGUUUGUCGUAAAUGGCUUUAAUUAUGUUAAGGUGGGUUCCCUCUAUACCCACUGUGGUAAGAGUUUUGAUCAUGAAUGGAUAUUGGACUUUGUCAAAUGCUUUCUCUGCAGGUAUUGAGAUGAUCAUGUGGUUUUUGACUUUUCUUUUGUUAAUGUGUAACUGGGUCACCAUGCUGUACAGUAGGAAAAAAUAAUGUAUUGGGAAAUAACAAUUUAAAAAAAUUUUAAAAAAUUAAAAAAAAAUAAAAUUUAGAUAACAUGGGAGGCUUAUUAUAGUUUCCACCACAUAGACUAUACCAACAAUUUACAUAACGGCUCUUGGACACUAAGCUCUGGCAGCUAUAAUUUCUUAGAAGUUUAAUCCCAGUGUUUUUAUUUUUCUCCGUGCAUCUUCUUACAUUAUAGAUAAAACAUUACAAUUCAGAAACCACACUCAGAAACAAUCAAGUUAACCCAUAACUUCUGGAACAUUCAAGUUAACUCUUACUAUACUUCUGACUGGUAGAGGUAAUUUCUAAUUGUUGAGGAAAUUUCUGUCUUCUCCUUGUAGGUGUGGAAACUGCUCCUGAAUUUCACUGGCCAUCAGUGGUGACAGGGCUCAGAACUAAGACUAAGGCUUGGGUACCAGUUUAUCAAUUCUCCUCCCCUUCAUCAUGAAUCCCAAAGCACCUCAGAAGGGCAGCCAUUGUAUGUCCAAUGCCAUACAAUUCCCAUAUAGACUCCCAGGAGGGGGAAUGGUGGUCCUGGGAUGUGAGUACCACAACCCUCUACUUUCUGAAGCAAAACAAAAUGCAAUACAUCAACAUGAGGAGGCACUACCCAACAUUAUUUUUUAACUUAAAAUGUACCUCAGUAAAAUCAGAAUGUCAACCCAUGCAGUCUUUGCUCUUAACCAUUUUACUUAGCUCUCAUUCCCCAAUAAUAAAAUAGCAGCAUAUUUUGUAUAAUGUGAUACAUACAUUACUGAAAGUUCCAUCAUUUCUCAAAAUCUGCUUUUCCUCCUAAGUUACUGAUGCUGGUUACUGACACAACCCAUCCAACCUAUCUAACUAAGCCAGAUACCUGCUUCUAAAUUCCCUAAGGCUAAUCAUUAUCACUAUUAAUCUGUCAAUUCUAUUUCCUGCAUGUCUCUCAGUCUUUCCUCUCCUGUCUACUGCUUCUGCUCUGGCCUUGUCCACUCUCCCUGGGCCCCUGCAACAGCCUCCUCCAUGGAUGCCCUGUCACUUCUUUCACAUCCUUUAUCCAUUCUUUCUCCAAUGAGCCUAAAACACAACCUGAUUAUACUACUCUCACUGAUAAAACCCUCUUAUGAGGUCCCAUCCUCUAUACCAGGGCUUAUCAAAAUAUUUCACAAAUGUAUUCAUCAUUCUAAGGGUCUUUUAAAAAGUAAAGAUUUGUGGCUGCCACCCUGGCCUUACCCUACCAGAAUUUCUGGGAAUGGGGCCCAGGAAUCUGAAUUUUGAUAAACUCUCCAGGAGAUUUUUACAGCAUGCAAGUUAGAGCAAUAGAGAUGUGAGAAGAAAUUCCACCUCCCAUUGAGGCUGCAAAGGUCCCCAGGAUCCGGUCUUACCUCCUCUCCUGCUGCCUCACACGUGCUCUCCCACAACACUCAGUUGUGCUGCAGCUGCGCUAGGCCACUCGCAUUGCCUUUGCAUGUGUAGCUGUCUGUCUGUUCUGUCCUGUGCGCUCUGGCCAUCUUCUAAGGUACAUCUCCUAUACUGUCCACUCCGUGAGGCCCUCCUUGAAUACACCAUGCUAAGCCAAGUAAUCCUUUCCUUCUUUCUCCCUUUGCCCCAGGAUGAUACCUUCAGAUGGCACUGUAGCUGUUUGUUUACCUGCCUGCCUCCCUUGCUGCACUGAGAACUCCUUAAGAAGUAAAGCCUGUCUUUUUCAGAUUUUACCUUCAUUUCUUUUUCAGAUCUUACUCCACUGGAACAGAGAGAACACUGACCAAUUUUUGCUGCGUGAACAAUCUUGUGUUUACCAAGCUCUGUGAAACAGACAAUUCCACAUCAGGACAGAGCAGCAGGAGUGGGUAUCAUUAGAGAUGACUUUCAUAUCAAGAAAUGGAGCCUCAUCACAAACCACAACCAGGUCAUCCCUUUCCUGCCUAAAGUCAAAAAGACCUCUAAAACUUUUCCCACUGCCGCACUCUGGGUCAGUUAGGGUGAAACUUCUUGGCAAAGCUGCCUUUUAGCAGUUUCUCUUUCCACACUGUAAAAGCUGUAGACGGAAAUUGAAACAAUGUUUGAAAUACAAGUCUGUGUAGUUAGCAUAGAAAGCUUGCAAUUAGAGAAAUAAACUGAGCCACUGACAGCAGGGAUGCUGGAUGUUGCAUUAAAUAGGCUGCUUUUGUAAACACAUGACAGAAGCUAACUUUAACCAGUCAAGUAAAAUGGAAAAUCUUCUAAUGAUACUAGGUAUUUUACGUAUCUCACACUUAAGAAUGCAGCUGGAGAUGAGGGACAUGCAGAACUGGGGGCGUGAACACACUGGCAAUCCCCCCACUUCUCAGCUUUGCUUCAUUCAUCACUUGCUACACAUACACACUAUGGAAAGCAUAGUUGCUGUAACUCCUGAGUUUCAGAUGUCAUAGUUGUAGACUCUAAAGAGAUCCUGACAGAACGCUCAGGGGAGCAGCUCAAUAACCUGAGUCAAUAGUUGAGUCAAUAGUCAAUAGUUGAGUCAAUGACUGCGUUUUUCCUGGUUAAUUCAGUAUGACAGGGACACCAUAGAACCACACUGGAAUGUGGGGCUCCAGCUAGUUAUUUGAAAGGCAGAGAUAAGCGGAGUGGGAAAUCUUUUAAGUGAUCACCGGAGAGAAUAACCUCACUGAAACUGGAAGCAAAGAGGAGAGUUUAAAUUGUGAGUGAUUCAGGUUGGAGAUGUGGAAUGGGACAAGUGAACAAGAAGGCCCGGGCCAGGACUAUGCCAGAGGCUGGGCCAAGAUCUCCCCUGGUGAAAGCCUUUAACAAUGCCAGAGUGAGGAACUGACAGUCAAGCUCAAGGUUAUCUGCAUAUUACAUAGCAUUCGUUGCUGUGCCUGCUAAAGUUAAAUAUUCAUGCUCUAAAUAAGAAAUUUGUUUCAGAGUAGUUUUAGUUUUUAACUAAAUCUUUGUGUCAUCUUUCUAAAGCUCUGAGAAGAGAAACAUCUUCUUUAAAGAGAGUAAACAGUUGCAUAAAACAGUAAGUUUAGACCCUGAUAUGUCUGGCUUUCCACUUGAACACCUCUACCAUUCAUGGGCUCUCGGACUACGGAGAAAGUUCAGUUCUGACUGCCCCAGAGCCUUAGAUACUCCAUAUGUUUUUCUUAAUAAUGGCCACCUGUUAUGUAUUUUAGGUUAUUUAGUCCAAGUUGUAAUUGCCCAUCCUGCAACUAUUUGUUGAUA
rnacentral:lncRNA from 1 species